rnacentral:rRNA from 1 species
UACGUAGGGGGCGAGCGUUGUCCGGAAUCAUUGGGCGUAAAGAGCGUGUAGGCGGCUUGGCAAGUCUAACGUGAAAGCCCGCGGCUCAACCGCGGAUUGUCGUUGGAAACUGCCUCGCUAGAGUCCGGAAGAGGAGAGCGGAAUUCCUGGUGUAGCGGUGGAAUGCGCAGAUAUCAGGAAGAACACCCGUGGCGAAGGCGGCUCUCUGGGACGGUACUGACGCUGAGACGCGAAAGCGUGGGGAGCGAACAGG